GAGUCACUUUGACCUUCAUUUUUUUUAAAUGUACAACUUAAAUCAAUUGGAGUUUUGACUACAUUGAAAUUCAAGUAAUUGAACUUAUCCAAUAGUUUUCCAAUAUAAUGAGAUUGAGAUAAUGCUAGUCCCUGGGGAGUUUUGAUAAUCCUGACCCCUAAGAUCAAAUCAGCAACUCCUAAGUCUUUCAUAUCGAACUUGCUGGACAACAUGCGCUUAAUAGCAUUUAUAUCAUCAAUUUCUUUACUCAUUAUUAACAUGUCAUCAACAUACA
rnacentral:misc_RNA from 1 species